UUUGUUGAAUAAUUGUGUUUU
rnacentral:piRNA from 1 species